UACAGAGGGUGCAAGCGUUGUUCGGAAUUAUUGGGCGUAAAGGGCGCGUAGGCGGUGCGGUAAGUCCGCAGUGAAAUCUCUGGGCUCAACUCAGAGUCUGCUGUGGAAACUGCCGUGCUAGAGUGUGGGAGAGGUGAGUGGAAUUCCCGGUGUAGCGGUGAAAUGCGUAGAUAUCGGGAAGAACACCUGUGGCGAAAGCGGCUCACUGGACCACAACUGACGCUGAGGCGCGAAAGCUAGGGGAGCAAACAGG
rnacentral:rRNA from 1 species